UACGUAGGGGGCAAGCGUUGUCCGGAAUCAUUGGGCGUAAAGAGCGUGUAGGCGGCUUGUUAAGUCUUGCGUGAAAUCUCGGGGCUCAACCCCGAGCGGUCGUGAGAAACUGGCAGGCUAGAGUGCGGGAGAGGAGAGUGGAAUUCCUGGUGUAGCGGUGAAAUGCGCAGAUAUCAGGAAGAACACCGGUGGCGAAGGCGGUGAGCUGGGCAAUUGCUGACACUGGAGGCGCGACAGCGUGGGGAGCAAACAGG
rnacentral:rRNA from 1 species